rnacentral:tRNA from 1 species
UGUGGUGAAGUUCAUGCUGAGUUGCAAGCUCAGAGAUGUACACUAGCAGUGUGCCGGGGCUUA